GCUCCCGCGGCCGCCAACUCCGGGACGGCUGCCGCAGGUGCCCCUUUAACCUGGGAGAGAACUUUCAUUUUGCCGAGUGGAGUGUCUGAGUCCCGACCAGCUCCUUACUCUACCGUAUUUCAAAUACGCGUUGACUUACUCCCGCUAGAGCAGAGCCUGGGACGCGGAGGGGGCUCGGUGGGACCUCCCCAACUUGGUAAAUAGUCACUGGGAGACCCUCCCACGAACCCAGCAGUGUCGCCAGGCCCCUGCAGGGACCCACUAACUCGUCCGCCAGUCGGUGCCGGACUUGUCUCACCGAGUCAGUCUCCUCUGGGUGUGAGGGAAGAUCCUGCCAUAAUUGACUGAUGGGAAAAUAGACUCAUGGGUCUGACAUCACCACCAUAAACCAACACUUGAAUAAUUCAACCUAUCAGAGCCCUGGUUCUUGUCUAGAAAAAUUCCAGCCCCAAAGCAAAAGAUUUCUCUGGAGGGAAAUGCUCACCCACAAACAGUGCACUGCAAGGUUGACAUUAUUAUUCCCAACAUACAGAUGAGGAAACUGAGGCUCUGGGAGUUAGUAAUACUAUCUCCAGAUACAAGGUCUUAUUUUCCUACCCUACCUCCAGGAAAUUUAGCUGAGAAACCACAGCCUCUAUUUACUUUUUGGAACAGACUUCGGAACGUCUCUCCCCAGAAACUUCCUGGACUGUACAAUUUUAUUAGUCCUGCUAAUGUUUUCCUGAAUAAUGCAAAUAAAG